AAAAGCCCGAAAGCCUGAUGCAGCCAUGCCGCGUGUAUGAAGAAGGCCUUCGGGUUGUAAAGUACUUUCAGUUGUGAGGAAGGGGGUAACGUUAAUAGCGUUAUCUCUUGACGUUAGCAACAGAAGAAGCACCGGCUAACUCCGUGCCAGCAGCCGCGGUAAUACGGAGGGUGCGAGCGUUAAUCGGAAUUACUGGGCGUAAAGCGCAUGCAGGUGGUUCAUUAAGUCAGAUGUGAAAGCCCGGGGCUCAACCUCGGAACUGCAUUUGAAACUGGUGAACUAGAGUGCUGUAGAGGGGGGUAGAAUUUCAGGUGUAGCGGUGAAAUGCGUAGAGAUCUGAAGGAAUACCAGUGGCGAAGGCGGUCCCCUGGACAGACACUGACACUCAGAUGCGAAAGCGUGGGGAGCAAACAGGAUUAGAUACCCUGGUAGUUCACGCCGUAAACUAUGGUUACUUUGAGGUUGUGGCCUUGAGCCGCGGCUUUUUUUGGUAAACCGUUAAGUAGACCGCCUGGGGAGUACUGUCGCAAGAUUAAAACUCAAAUGAAUUGACGGGGGCCC
rnacentral:rRNA from 1 species